CGAUUUCAUAAAUACGUUUGCUACAAAAUUCCCGAUUCGAGUAACUCGACCUUUUUAAAACAAGCAUACAUUUAUAGUCUCAAUUGUGAUUUAAGUACAUGCAUAUUAAAAUUGCUUUUUUGGCUGUUUUGCAAUCUCCACGUUCAUACAAACGGACACACAUACGUGCAUGUGCGUUACUGUAUGCCAUCCUGCGAAUGUGUGUGUGCGACUGCCCAAGUAGGAGGAGCAAGAGCUCGGCCGAUACUGAUGAUAUGGUGACUUCUUCCGAUACUCCUCUUAUAUUCCAGCAGACAACGGCCAGAACGACGACAGCCAACUACGACUAUUCAAUAUUUCCUUGGGCGUCCUGUUUUGCCGCAAAAGGAGAACAAGGACGAAAGCGUUCUAGCCGCUUGCCCACUUCCAGGGGGCCAAUGGAGAUUGUCUCCUUGGUUGCCACGCCUGCCAAUUGGAAGGUGUCGGCACCGGAAAUUGGCCAACUCGGAUUCCGAAUUGCGUUCAUCAUCUUUCAGUUUGCUGGUUGCCGGCCAAGAAAAUUACCGAAUUUUUCAUUCGAAUGGAGCAGUUAAUUUGAGGUGACCACUUGCCUAUUAAUGCGGCUUGAAUUCAACCUGGCGUAGCUUUGUUUUCUCUGGUGAUUUUGUGGUUGUGAAAAAGUGGAAAACAGCUCCAAACAGGAUGCACGAAAGGUUGUCUAUUUACAAGCAAUAUUUUCGCAUAUGUCCAUGAUUUUGUUUCUAACACUUUCUAUGCGUCCUU
ensembl:ncRNA lncRNA:CR45082 long non-coding RNA:CR45082